rnacentral:lncRNA from 1 species
ACUCAUGGCAAAAUGUGGAAUUCUCUUUCUAGGCUGAAUCGUUGAGAAAGGCUGGUUGAACAAUGAAGAUCAUUUGGAGAGCCGAGCCACACUCCGUGUUUAUCAAAUUCCAAGGGGGAGAUAGUCACAAAGACCUAUUACACGAUUUGUUAUGCCUAUUGACCGUCAUGCCUGUAUGUACCUGUGCCCGUGUACGCCUGUGGGAUCAGAGCAGGGCACUGGAGCCCCUGGGACUGGAGUCACAGAUGCUUUUGACAGCCGUCUCUCCAGCCCCAGGAAUCCAAGCUCUUCCGCUGCUGAAACAAUGUUCAGAACGUGGAGCUGGGGAGUAGGCUCGGUGGUUAAGAGCACUUGUUGGUCCUGCAGAGAACGUGGAGUUCAAUUCUCAGCACCCACAUGGCAGCUCAGUUGUCUGUUACUCCAGUCUCCAAGAGCUAUGGUGUCCUCUUCUGGCCUCUGUGGGCACCACCCGUGCACACCAUGCACAGACAUACAUCCAUACACAUUCAAAAA